rnacentral:rRNA from 2 species
AAAUUGAAGAGUUUGAUCAUGGCUCAGAUUGAACGCUGGCGGCAGGCCUAACACAUGCAAGUCGAGCGGAAACGAGUUAUCAGAACCUUCGGGGGACGAUAACGGCGUCGAGCGGCGGACGGGUGAGUAAUGCCUAGGAAAUUGCCCUGAUGUGGGGGAUAACCAUUGGAAACGAUGGCUAAUACCGCAUGAUGCCUACGGGCCAAAGAGGGGGACCUUCGGGCCUCUCGCGUCAGGAUAUGCCUAGGUGGGAUUAGCUAGUUGGUGAGGUAAGGGCUCACCAAGGCGACGAUCCCUAGCUGGUCUGAGAGGAUGAUCAGCCACACUGGAACUGAGACACGGUCCAGACUCCUACGGGAGGCAGCAGUGGGGAAUAUUGCACAAUGGGCGCAAGCCUGAUGCAGCCAUGCCGCGUGUGUGAAGAAGGCCUUCGGGUUGUAAAGCACUUUCAGUCGUGAGGAAGGUAGUGUAGUUAAUAGCUGCAUUAUUUGACGUUAGCGACAGAAGAAGCACCGGCUAACUCCGUGCCAGCAGCCGCGGUAAUACGGAGGGUGCGAGCGUUAAUCGGAAUUACUGGGCGUAAAGCGCAUGCAGGUGGUUUGUUAAGUCAGAUGUGAAAGCCCGGGGCUCAACCUCGGAAUUGCAUUUGAAACUGGCAGACUAGAGUACUGUAGAGGGGGGUAGAAUUUCAGGUGUAGCGGUGAAAUGCGUAGAGAUCUGAAGGAAUACCGGUGGCGAAGGCGGCCCCCUGGACAGAUACUGACACUCAGAUGCGAAAGCGUGGGGAGCAAACAGGAUUAGAUACCCUGGUAGUCCACGCCGUAAACGAUGUCUACUUGGAGGUUGUGGCCUUGAGCCGUGGCUUUCGGAGCUAACGCGUUAAGUAGACCGCCUGGGGAGUACGGUCGCAAGAUUAAAACUCAAAUGAAUUGACGGGGGCCCGCACAAGCGGUGGAGCAUGUGGUUUAAUUCGAUGCAACGCGAAGAACCUUACCUACUCUUGACAUCCAGAGAACUUUCCAGAGAUGGAUUGGUGCCUUCGGGAACUCUGAGACAGGUGCUGCAUGGCUGUCGUCAGCUCGUGUUGUGAAAUGUUGGGUUAAGUCCCGCAACGAGCGCAACCCUUAUCCUUGUUUGCCAGCGAGUAAUGUCGGGAACUCCAGGGAGACUGCCGGUGAUAAACCGGAGGAAGGUGGGGACGACGUCAAGUCAUCAUGGCCCUUACGAGUAGGGCUACACACGUGCUACAAUGGCGCAUACAGAGGGCAGCCAACUUGCGAAAGUGAGCGAAUCCCAAAAAGUGCGUCGUAGUCCGGAUUGGAGUCUGCAACUCGACUCCAUGAAGUCGGAAUCGCUAGUAAUCGUGGAUCAGAAUGCCACGGUGAAUACGUUCCCGGGCCUUGUACACACCGCCCGUCACACCAUGGGAGUGGGCUGCAAAAGAAGUAGGUAGUUUAACCUUCGGGGGGACGCUUACCACUUUGUGGUUCAUGACUGGGGUGAAGUCGUAACAAGGUAGCGCUAGGGGAACCUGGCGCUGGAUCACCUCCUUAUACGAUGAU